CCUUCGGGUGGCAGCAGUGAGGAAUAUUGGUCAAUGGCCGAGAGGCUGAACCAGCCAAGUCGCGUGAGGGAAGAAUGUCCUAUGGAUUGUAAACCUCUUUUGUCAGGGAGCAAAGUCACCCACGUGUGGGUGUUGGAGAGUACCUGAAGAAAAAGCAUCGGCUAACUCCGUGCCAGCAGCCGCGGUAAUACGUAGGGAGCGAGCGUUGUCCGGAAUUACUGGGUGUAAAGGGAGCGUAGGCGGGCGAGAAAGUUGAAUGUUAAAUCUACCGGCUUAACUGGUAGCUGCGUUCAAAACUUCUUGUCUUGAGUGAAGUAGAGGCAGGCGGAAUUCCUAGUGGAGCGGUGAAAUGCGUAGAUAUUAGGAGGAACACCAGUGGCGAAGGCGGCCUGCUGGGCUUUAACUGACGCUGAGGCUCGAAAGCGUGGGGAGCAAACAGGAUUAGAUACCCCAGUAGUC
rnacentral:rRNA from 1 species